rnacentral:rRNA from 1 species
AUCUUCGGAUCUAGUGGCGGACGGGUGAGUAACACGUUGGUACCUGCCCCUAAGUGGGGAAUAACUGCCCGAAAGGGUGGCUAAUACCGCAUAAUCCCGCAAGGGUAAAGUCGCAAGACGCUUAGGGAGGGGCCUGCGUCCCAUUAGCUAGUUGGUAGGGUAAUGGCCUACCAAGGCGACGAUGGGUAGCUGGAUCGAGAGGUUGACCAGCCACACUGGGACUGAGAUACGGCCCAGACUCCUACGGGAGGCAGCAGUAAGGAAUCUUCCACAAUGGACGAAAGUCUGAUGGAGCAACACCGCGUGCAGGAUGACGGUCUUCGGA